rnacentral:rRNA from 1 species
CUACGGGGUGCAGCAGUGAGGAAUUUUGCGCAAUGGGGGAAACCCUGACGCAGCAACGCCGCGUGAGCGAAGAAGGCCUUCGGGUCGUAAAGCUCUGUCAAGUGGGAAAAAAAUUCUUUGAUGAACAGUCAAAGGACUUGAUGGUACCACUGGAGGAAGCACCGGCUAAGUCCGUGGCCAGCAGCCGCGGUAAUACGGAGGGUGCAAGCGUUGUUCGGAAUUACUGGGCGUAAAGAGCGUGUAGGCGGUUUGACAAGUCAGAUGUGAAAGCCCCGGGCUCAACCCGGGAAGUGCAUUUGAAACUGUUUCACUAGAGUAUGGGAGAGGAGAUUGGAAUUCCUGGUGUAGAGGUGAAAUUCGUAGAUAUCAGGAGGAACACCCGUGGCGAAGGCGAUUCUCUGGACCAAUACUGACGCUGAGACGCGAAAGCGUGGGGAGCAAACAGGAUUAGAUACCCUUGUAGUC